UCCAAAGACGUACAGGUUUGUAGGUUAAUUGGAUCCAAUUAAUUGUCUCUAGUGCGUUGGAUAGUGCUGGUGUACGGGGUGACUUACUGGUCAGCGUGGACAAGGUAGGCCGAGGGGCCUGUCUCUACGGUAUCU